rnacentral:rRNA from 1 species
GUCGCCAGGCGGGAGACUAUACGUGCAAGUCGAGCGGACCGAACGGAAGCUUGCUUCUGUUCGGUUAGCGGCGGACGGGUGAGUAACACGUGGGUAACCUGCCCGUAAGACCGGGAUAUCCGGGACGAGACUAUCGAUACCCGAGCGCAGUUCUCGUGAAGUGCUGCUACAUUACGAUGCCGCGGGCAUAGCUAGUGUGAGUACGCUCACAGCGACGAUGGUAGCGCUGAGAGGUGACCGGCCACCUGGACUGAGACACGGCCAGACUCUACGGAGGCAGCAGUAGGGAAUCUCCGCAAUGACGAAAGUCGACGGAGCGACGCGCGUGAGCGAAGAAGGUCUUCGGAUCGUAAAGCUCUGUUGUUAGGGAAGAAGAAGUACCGUCGAAUAGGGCGGUACGGUGACGGUACCUAACGAGAAAGCCCGGCUACUACGUGCCAGCAGCCGCGGUAAUACGUAGGGGGCGAGCGUUGUCCGGAAUUAUUGGGCGUAAAGCGCGCGCAGGCGGUCCCUUAAGUCUGAUGUGAAAGCCCACGGCUCAACCGUGGAGGGUCAUUGAAAACUGGGGGACUUGAGUCCAAAAGAGGAGAGCGGAAUUCCACGUGUAGCGGUGAAAUGCGUAGAGAUGGGGAGGAACACCAGGGCGAAGGCGGCUCUCUGGUCUGUAACUGACGCUGAGGCGCGAAAGCGUGGGGACCAAACAGGAUUAGAUACCCGGGUAGUCCACCCCGUAAACGAGGAGUGCUAAGUGUUAGAGGGGUUAAACCCUUUAGUGCUGUAGCUAACGCGUUAAGCACUCCCCCUGGGGAGUACGGCCGCAAGGCUGAAACUCAAAGGAAUUGACGGGGGCCCGCACAAGCGGUGGAGCAUGUGUUUAAUUCGAAGCAACGCGAAGAACCUUACCAGGUCUUGACAUCCCCUGACAACCCGGGAGACAGGGCGUCCCCUCGGGGGACAGGGUGACAGUGUGCAUGUGUCGUCAGCUCGUGUCUGGAUGUGGGUUAGUCCGCACGAGCGCAACCCUCGCCCUAGUGCAGCAUCAGUGGCACUAAGGGACUGCGCUUAAAGUCGAAAGUGAUGACUCAUCCAUGCUAGACUGGCUAACCGUGCUCAAUGCGUACAAGGGCUGCGAACCCGCGAGGGGGAGCGAAUCCCAAAAAGCCGCUCUCAGUUCGGAUUGCAGGCUGCAACUCGCCUGCAUGAAGCCGGAAUCGCUAGUAAUCGCGGAUCAGCUGCUGCGCAUGAAGGUCGUCGU